GAUGAACGCUAGCGGCAGGCUUAACACAUGCAAGUCGAGGGGUAGAGGCUUUCGGGCCUUGAGACCGGCGCACGGGUGCGUAACGCGUAUGCAAUCUGCCUUGUACUGGGGGAUAGCCCAGAGAAAUUUGGAUUAAUACCCCAUAGUAUUUUCGGUUGGCAUCAACUGAUUAUUAAAGUUUUUCGGUACAAGAUGAGCAUGCGUCCCAUUAGCUAGUUGGUAUGGUAACGGCAUACCAAGGCUACGAUGGGUAGGGGUCCUGAGAGGGAGAUCCCCCACACUGGUACUGAGACACGGACCAGACUCCUACGGGAGGCAGCAGUGAGGAAUAUUGGUCAAUGGUCGCAAGACUGAACCAGCCAUGCCGCGUGCAGGAUGAAGCAUCUAUGGUGUGUAAACUGCUUUUGUACGGGAAGAAACACUGCUACGUGUAGCAGCUUGACGGUACCGUAAGAAUAAGGAUCGGCUAACUCCGUGCCAGCAGCCGCAGUAAGAC
rnacentral:rRNA from 1 species